rnacentral:rRNA from 1 species
AACGAACGCUGGCGGCAGGCUUAACACAUGCAAGUCGAGCGCCCCGCAAGGGGAGCGGCAGACGGGUGAGUAACGCGUGGGAAUCUACCCAUCUCUACGGAAUAACGCAUGGAAACGUGUGCUAAUACCGUAUACGUCCUUCGGGAGAAAGAUUUAUCGGAGAUGGAUGAGCCCGCGUUGGAUUAGCUAGUUGGUGGGGUAAAGGCCUACCAAGGCGACGAUCCAUAGCUGGUCUGAGAGGAUGAUCAGCCACACUGGGACUGAGACACGGCCCAGACUCCUACGGGAGGCAGCAGUGGGGAAUAUUGGACAAUGGGCGCAAGCCUGAUCCAGCCAUGCCGCGUGAGUGAUGAAGGCCCUAGGGUUGUAAAGCUCCUUCACCGGUGAAGAUAAUGACGGUAACCGGAGAAGAAGCCCCGGCUAACUCCGUGCCAGCAGCCGCGGUAACAC